rnacentral:tRNA from 1 species
AAAUUUAUAGUAAGAGGAAAAUCCGUCGAUUUCAAAAAUCAUGAGGGAUCAAGUCCCUCUAUCCCCA